GCUGGCGACUAGCGCGACAGGGCCACACCCGUUCCCAUCCCGAACACGGCAGUUAAGCCUGUCAGCGCCGAUGGUACUAUGCGGGGGACCGUAUGGGAGAGUAGGCCGUUGCCAGCC
rnacentral:rRNA from 1 species